rnacentral:rRNA from 1 species
CGAGUAGUGGGGGAUAACUGAUCGAAAGAUCAGCUAAUACCGCAUACGUCUUGAGAGAGAAAGCAGGGGACCUUUGGGCCUUGCGCUAUUCGAGCGGCCGAUAUCUGAUUAGCUGGUUGGUGGGGUAAAGGCCUACCAAGGCGACGAUCAGUAGCGGGUCUGAGAGGAUGAUCCGCCACACUGGGACUGAGACACGGCCCAGACUCCU